rnacentral:rRNA from 1 species
GUCUGUCUAGGAGCGGAGGAGGACCCGAUGUCAUUUGCAGAAGAAGUCUCUUCGGUAAAAAAAGAAAUAUUAAAACUUUCAACAACGGAUCUCUUGGUUCUGGCAUCGAUGAAGAACGCAGCGAAAUGCGAUAAGUAGUGUGAAUUGCAGAAUUCAGUGAAUCAUCGAAUCUUUGAACGCACAUUGCGCCCUUCGGUAUUCCGUUGGGCAUGCCUGUUCGAGCGUCAUUUAAAUCUUCAAGCUAUGCUUGGUGUUGGGUCUUGUUUGCGUCUUUGUAUGUGGACUGGCCUUAAAUUCAUUGGCAGCCGGUAUGUUGGUUUCGUGCGCAGCACAUUGCGUCUUGAUUCCAGUUUGCCCCCUUCCAUUAAGCCUCUUUUUAAGUUUGACCUCGGAUCAGGUAGGGAUACCCGCUGAACUUAAGCAUAUCAAUAAGCGGAAGAAUCUAUAUCUGUGAACUUUCGCUAAUUUGAAAUAUCAUUU